rnacentral:lncRNA from 1 species
AUGAGGGGCUCGUUCAAGGGUGGCGGCACCGCCCCUGGGAGUCAUUUCAGGGCUCACCUCACCCUCAGUCUGUGUUGGGGCCCUUCCCGAGGUUGGCUGUGGUCCCCCGGGCCACCCUCAGGGGUGUCCCCAGAUAGGAGGCAGCACUGGCAAAUACAUGCAUGGCACUGGCACUCACGGACAGCAGCCUCCAUGCUUAGCACUGAGCCAAUCAGUGUCGGUGGCCAUGUUAGACACGAGGAGGCUGAGGCACAAGGACGCGAGUCUGGGAAUCUGGCCUCGAGUCCCAGAUCCGCAGCAUGGCUCGCUUCUGCCCGCAGCCCGAGUGCACAGGGCGGGCUGUCUCAGGGUGGGCGCUGGGCAGGGUCAGGCCUCGAGGCCAGUGCAGGUGGCCCUGAUGCCACCCCUGCCCUGCAGCUGUACAUCCAGACGACCACGCUGACCGUCUCGAACGUGCCGAAGCGCAAGCGCAGCCUCAAAGCUGUGGUCGCCGCUGCCGCCAUGUCCAACAAGUUCACGCAGAAGGGCAACUUCCGGCCCAAUGGGGAGGCCAAGUCUGAGCUGUGCGAGAACCUGGAGGCCCCAGCCCCCUAGCAGGGCCCAGAGAGAUGGGACCCAGGACAUGGGCCGCUGGGACAGCGCUGGCCACCAAACAGACUUACGUCACCUAUGCCAACCAGGCCAUCUAGCUGGGCCGCCGGAGCCUCAGGAGAAGCCACAGCCCCGUGGACGUCACGCUGCAGGCCCGAGGCCCAGGCCCCGGCUGAUGUCCUGCUGGCCCGUGGCACCCACGGAUGUGGCUUGGUGCUGAGGACAGCGGAGACCUGGCUGUCCCUGCUGGGAGCCUGGGCAAGCCGGGCGGGCACCGCAGGAGCCUUCGUGUCACUGUCGCACAGGGUGCAGGCGUAGGCCCGGUGCCGGUCCUCUGUUCCUCCCGUCCGUCUGUCCUGCUGGUUACCUUGUCCGUCCCUUUGGAUUUCUGUCCUUCGUUCUCUCCGCCUGUUUUCUCUGCACGUCCGUCCAUCUGAUCUGGUCCUCGGCUCCCGUAGUCCCUUCUCUCUGCUCCCCCCCUGCCCUGUCCCUGCCCUCCUGGGACCCCACAUUAUGCCCCUCCCGCAUUUUUCUUUCCAGCCCCCACUUCACUUUCCUGAUCCCUCAGUCCACCAAUUCUUCCACGUUGCAAGAGAAAAAAGGAAAAAAAAUCAAAACACAAAAACGCCAAAACAAAAACGAAUCUCCAGUGUGUUGCAAGUGCCACGCCCUCCUGGUGGCCUCGUGUGUGUCCCCGUGGCCGCUGCCCGCCGCCUGCCCCACCCGUCUGCCGUGUGUCGUGCCCGCCUGCCGCCUGCCCUCUGCUGACCACACGGAGUUCAGUGCCUGGGUGUCUGGUGAUGGUUAUUGAUGACAUGUGUAGCGCAUGAUUGUUUUUAUACCAAGAACAUUUCUAAUAAAAAUAAACACAUGGUUUUGCACCUGGGCUCCGCAUCCACUGUGAGACCCGCCAGGGACCACAGCUGACCCAAACCCAGAGGGGUGGAGUGGGAGGGCGGAAAGGGCUUGGGGCUCUGGGCUGCAGUGGCUGGGCCCGGGCAGGGACUGGUGGCUGCCUAGGUAAGUGGGGUGCUGUCCCUGCCCUGCAGCAGCUCAGGCGAAUCUCCAGUGUGUUGCAAGUGCCACGCCCUCCUGGUGGCCUCGUGUGUGUCCCCGUGGCCGCUGCCCGCCGCCUGCCCCACCCGUCUGCCGUGUGUCGUGCCCGCCUGCCGCCUGCCCUCUGCUGACCACACGGAGUUCAGUGCCUGGGUGUCUGGUGAUGGUUAUUGAUGACAUGUGUAGCGCAUGAUUGUUUUUAUACCAAGAACAUUUCUAAUAAAAAUAAACACAUGGUUUUGCACCUGGGCUCCGCAUCCACUGUGAGACCCGCCAGGGACCACAGCUGACCCAAACCCAGAGGGGUGGAGUGGGAGGGCGGAAAGGGCUUGGGGCUCUGGGCUGCAGUGGCUGGGCCCGGGCAGGGACUGGUGGCUGCCUAGGUAAGUGGGGUGCUGUCCCUGCCCUGCAGCCCGGAGGGACCACGUCUGCCACUGUGAGCAGCUGGGAGGUGUUAGGGGCGUGGCUCGGAGGAGGCCCUGCCAGGGGAAAUGACAGAGCCUGGGACACAAUGAGGACAGCGCAGCUGCCUGCACCACCCCCGCCCCUCCCACCUCACAGCUGGCGGCCAGGACUCAGGGAGCCAGGCAGGGACCCUUGCAGGGUGGCAGUGCGGCUGGGGCAGGCAUUGCUACCCCCGGGGGUGUCCUGGCUGUGCCUUACACUUCGUGUGAGCUGAGUAAAGUCCGAGUCCGGGCAGGGGAGCAGAGUGGCUGCCUCUCUCCCAUCUAGCUCCAGCAGGAUGCUCCCCGAGACCCCUGCCCAGUAUAGAUCUCGCCCAGCUGGUAGCACGAGGCUGCUGGACCUGGGAUGCUGGCUGGAAGCUUCCAGGCUAAUGAGUGCGGGCGCCUGGAUGCCUUCCCCCUCGGGCCUACUCCUCACUCGAGGUGACAGGCGGAGCCCUGGCCUGGAACCUCGGGGUGACGCUCAGCCCAGGACUUGCCCAGGGCCCCCCAUCUGUAGGGAACAGGGAGGGGGCCACCUUCUUGCCCGGGGUGGGGUUGCUGCCCUCCUGCCCCUCAGCUUGCAGGAGAGGGCAGUGGCGGCCGGGAGGGGACAAGGGUGGCAUUUGAGGC